rnacentral:rRNA from 1 species
AUUGAACGCUGGCGGCAGGCCUAACACAUGCAAGUCGAGCGGAGCGGCGGACGGGUGAGUAAUGCCUAGGAAUCUGCCUGGUAGUGGGGGAUAACGUCCGGAAACGGGCGCUAAUACCGCAUACUAUCAGAUGAGCCUAGGUCGGAUUAGCUAGUUGGUGGGGUAAAGGCUCACCAAGGCGACGAUCCGUAGCUGGUUUGAGAGGACGACCAGCCAAACUGGGACUGAGACACGGCCCAGACUCCUACGGUAGGCAGCAGUGGGGAAUUGUGGACAAUGGGCGAAAGCCUGAUCCAGCCAUCCCGCGUGUAUGAAGAAGGCCUUCGGGUUGUAAAGUACUUUUAGCGGAGAAGCGGUAUCUGCAGAAGAAGCACCGGCUAACUACGUGCCAGCAGCCGCGGUAAUUC